rnacentral:rRNA from 1 species
UACGAAGGGGGCUAGCGUUGCUCGGAAUCACCGGGCGUAAAGGGUGCGUAGGCGGGUCUUUAAGUCAGAGGUGAAAUCCUGGAGCUCAACUCCAGAACUGCCUUUGAUACUGAGGAUCUUGAGUUCGGGAGAGGUGAGUGGAACUGCGAGUGUAGAGGUGAAAUUCGUAGAUAUUCGCAAGAACACCAGUGGCGAAGGCGGCUCACUGGCCCGAUACUGACGCUGAGGCACGAAAGCGUGGGGAGCAAACAGG